rnacentral:rRNA from 1 species
UACGUAGGGGGCAAGCGUUGUCCGGAUUUAUUGGGCGUAAAGAGCGUGUAGGCGGCCAGGUAGGUCCGUUGUGAAAACUGGAGGCUUAACCUCCAGCUGUCGAUGGAAACCAUCUGGCUAGAGUCCGGAAGAGGAGAGUGGAAUUCCUGGUGUAGCAGUGAAAUGCGUAGAUAUCAGGAGGAACACCGAUGGCGAAGGCAGGUCUCUGGGCUGACACUGACGCUCAUGCACGAAAGCGUGGGGAGCAAACAGG